rnacentral:piRNA from 1 species
AUCAGGUUGGAGUUACAAGGACCCAGG